UUAGAGUCUGUUACAAGGUGCAUAGUGUA
rnacentral:piRNA from 1 species